GAUGAACGCUGGCGGCGUGCCUCAAACAUGCAAGUCGAGCGAGCUAUGAAUUACCGCAAGGUAAGGCAUAGCCUAGCGGCGAACGGGUGAGUAACACGUGGGUAACCUACCUGGAAGACAGGGAUAACGAUUCGAAAGGGUCGCUAAUACCUGAUAAUAUCCGUCUGCCGGAUGGCGGAGGGAAGAAAGGGGAAACCCGCUUUCAGAUGGGCCCGCGUCCCAUCAGCUAGUUGGUAAGGUAAAGGCUUACCAAGGCGACGACGGGUAGCCGGUCUGAGAGGAUGUACGGCCACACUGGGACUGAGAUACGGCCCAGACUCCUACGGGAGGCAGCAGUUGGGAAUCUUAGGCAAUGGACGAAAGUCUGACCUAGCGACGCCGCGUGAGGGAAGAAGGCCUUCGGGUUGUAAACCUCUGUCAUGGGGGAAGAAGGAAGUGACGGUACCCCAAGAGGAAGCCCCUGCUAACUACGUG
rnacentral:rRNA from 1 species